rnacentral:rRNA from 1 species
GAUUUCUGAUGUGACGGGCCUGCCCCGCCGUGGUUACACGUGUGAGUGGCGGGUUCCGUCCGUCUGUCUUCCGUGUGUGUGUGCGGUAUUAGUUCGCUAGUAUCGUACAUUGCACGGAUCUUUUACUUUGAACAAAUUAGAGUGUUUCAAGCAGGCGUCAAGCCCUGAAUACAUGAGCAUGGAAUAAUCACCGAGGACUGAGGUUCUGCGUUGGUUGGUUCGAGAACUGCAGUAAUGAUGGAUAGGGAUAGUUGGGGGUGCUAGUAUUCCGAGGCCAGAGGUGAAAUUCUUGGAUUCUCGGAAGACUCACUUAGGCGAAAGCAUU